rnacentral:lncRNA from 10 species
UUUUAUAGACUAAAAUUAAAAAAUCUUCAAGAAAGGGAGGAGAAGUUCCUUCAUCCGUGGAAAACAAAACUCUUGUUAAACACCCGACAUCAGGAGCUGUUUUCACAUUUCCUUUGCCAACACAAGAAACAGUUUUACGGUAUCUCAUCCUCUGCCCAAGAAUGAGCAAGAACAGCUUGUACACGCACAUAUUAUAAGAACUGAUAACUGAGUCCAGCAAUGUUGCA